GCUAGUCCAUCUCUAGAAAUGUCAAAUGAAGGCAGGGAUAAGGAAAUUAUUUCAAAGUAAUUAUCUAGUAAAUUUUUUUAACCUUAUAAACCAAGCAUUUAGUAGUAUUUUUGGAAAGUGCUAUUGUGAAACAGGCACAUUGAAAAAUAAAAUAUGGUAUUGCUAAGAGUAAAAGUGUUCUGACUGCUAACACAUUAAGAACUAAAUAAAGUCUUAGUUUUUAUAAGUAAAAUAAUUCAGAUCCUUAUGUUAUUUUUCUUUAUCUUCCUAUGAAUUCAAAUUGCAAUUUAUUUUUAAAAGAAAUAUUGCCAGCCAGGCACAGUGUCACACAUGCCUAUAAUCCCGGCAACUCGGGAGGCUGAGGCAGAAGGAUCCCAAUUCAAGACCAGUUUCAAAAUUAAAAAAGUGCUGAGCAUCUGCACCUCAGAUAGGGUGUUAAUAUCUAGAAUAUACAAAGAAAUAAAAAAUGUAACACCUAAAAAACAAAUAACUCAAUAAAUGAGCAAAGGAACUGAACAGACACUUUUCAAAUGUAUGAAAAAAUGUACAAUAUCUCUAGCAAUUCGAGAAAUGCAAAUUAAAACUACACUGAGGGCUGGGGAUAUAGCUCAGUUGGUAGAGUGCUUGCCUCACAUGCAUAAGGCUCUGGAUUCAAUCCCCAGCACCACAAACAACAACAACAAAACACCUAUACUGAGAUUUCAUCUCGUUCCAUUUAGAAUGGCAAUGAGUUUUUGUUUUUCUUUUUGUAUUAAAUUUAUUCAUUCUUUUUAGUUCUUCUUGAAAGAAGUGUAUAUUUUGGCAUAUUAUACAUACAAGGAGUAUAACUUAUUCUAAUUAGGAUCCUAUUCUUGUGAUUGUACAUGAUGUAGAGUUUUGCUGGUUAUGUGUUUAUAUAUGAACAUAUGAAAAUUAUGUUUGAUUCAUUCUACUGUCUUUCUUAUUCCCAUCCCCCCAUCCCUUCCUUUCCCUUUGUCUAAUCCAAUGAAUUUAUAUUCUUUCCUCCCACUCCCCCUGUUGUGUGUCAGCAUUUACAUAUCAUAGAAUAGAAAUGUUCAAGAAUACAAGUAACAAUGUUGAUAACAUUGUAGGGAAAACAUUACAUAUAUAUUGUUGGUGGGACUGCAAAUUGGUGCAACCACUCUAGAAAGCAGUAUGGAGAUUCCUCAAUACUGGAACAAUCAUUUCACCCAGUUAUCCAAAGUAUUUAAAAUCAGUUUACUACAGGGGGGCUGACUGGAGAAUACAAGUUCAGUGGAUUAGACAAAGGGAAAUGAAGGGAAGGGAUGGAGGAUGGGAAAAGGAAAGGAAAAACAGUGGAAUGAAUCUGAUAUAACUUCCCUAUGUACAUACAUGAAUAUACCACAGUGAAUCUUCAUGUCCAUACACAAGAAAUUAAUUUAAAGAGAAAUCUAUGGGUAAAUGUCAGAAAGAUCAAUAGAGGAAAAGAGGUGUUGGGUCUGAAUUAGAACAAGAUAUAUUCCAUGUUUG
rnacentral:lncRNA from 1 species